GAUGAACGCUGGCGGCGUGCCUAAUACAUGCAAGUCGAGCGAACGGACGAGAAGCUUGCUUCUCUGAUGUUAGCGGCGGACGGGUGAGUAACACGUGGAUAACCUACCUAUAAGACUGGGAUAACUUCGGGAAACCGGAGCUAAUACCGGAUAAUAUUUUGAACCGCAUGGUUCAAAAGUGAAAGACGGUCUUGCUGUCACUUAUAGAUGGAUCCGCGCUGCAUUAGCUAGUUGGUAAGGUAACGGCUUACCAAGGCAACGAUGCAUAGCCGACCUGAGGGGGUGAUCGGCCACACUGGAACUGAGACACGGUCCAGACUCCUACGGGAGGCAGCAGUAGGGAAUCUUCCGCAAUGGGCGAAAGCCUGACGGAGCAACGCCGCGUGAGUGAUGAAGGUCUUCGGAUCGUAAAGCUCUGUUAUUAGGGAAGAACAUAUGUGUAAGUAACUGUGCACAUCUUGACGGUACCUAAUCAGAAAGCCACGGCUAACUACGUGCCAGCAGCCGCGGUAAUACGUAGGUGGCAAGCGUUAUCCGGAAUUAUUGGGCGUAAAGCGCGCGUAGGCGGUUUUUUAAGUCUGAUGUGAAAGCCCACGGCUCAACCGUGGAGGGUCAUUGGAAACUGGAAAACUUGAGUGCAGAAGAGGAAAGUGGAAUUCCAUGUGUAGCGGUGAAAUGCGCAGAGAUAUGGAGGAACACCAGUGGCGAAGGCGACUUUCUGGUCUGUAACUGACGCUGAUGUGCGAAAGCGUGGGGAUCAAACAGG
rnacentral:rRNA from 1 species